rnacentral:piRNA from 1 species
UGGUAGCAACAAGGCAAACUCCCCCCC